rnacentral:tRNA from 1 species
GCAUUUAGCUCAGCCGGAUAGAGCAACUGCCUUCUAAGCAGUAGGCCGGGGGUUCGAGUCCCUUAAUGC